UAGGGAAUCUUCCGCAAUGGACGAAAGUCUGACGGAGCAACGCCGCGUGAGCGAAGAAGGUCUUCGGAUCGUAAAGCUCUGUUGUCAGGGAAGAACAAGUACCGUUCGAACAGGGCGGUACCUUGACGGUACCUGACGAGGAAGCCACGGCUAACUACGUGCCAGCAGCCGCGGUAAUACGUAGGUGGCAAGCGUUGUCCGGAAUUAUUGGGCGUAAAGCGCGCGCAGGCGGUUCCUUAAGUCUGAUGUGAAAUCUCGCGGCUCAACCGCGAGCGGCCAUUGGAAACUGGGGAACGUGAGUGCAGGGGAGGGGAGCGGAAUUCCACGUGUAGCGGUGAAAUGCGUAGAGAUGUGGAGGAACACCAGUGGCGAAGGCGGCUCUCUGGCCUGUAACUGACGCGGAGGCGCGAAAGCGUGGGGAGCGAACAGG
rnacentral:rRNA from 1 species